AUUGAAUUCUUGUAAAAUUCUAGUCUCCAAAGAAGGGGAGAGUGAAUAUCUGAAAGUAGAUAUCCAGUGGAAAUAGUAAACUUCUAUCCCAUUACACAGCACAGCAAAGCAAACAUGGUUUUUGCUGAACUAGGCAUUAUUGAUCAAACCUCAACUAACAAACUUCAAUCUGUUUUCUUGCAUUAUCAUUAUCCUAUAACCAAAACAUAUCAGAACCAAGGCUCCUACUCUUACAAAAAUUGAAGUCAUUAAGCCAUUUAAAACCCAAAUAUCAAGUAAAAGCAUAUAAACAAUAUAUAAGGUGAAAGAGUACCUG
rnacentral:misc_RNA from 1 species